rnacentral:rRNA from 1 species
ACUUUCAACAACGGAUCUCUUGGUUCUGGCAUCGAUGAAGAACGCAGCGAAAUGCGAUAAGUAAUGUGAAUUGCAGAUUCAGUGAAUCAUCGAAUCUUUGAACGCACAUUGCGCCCGCCAGUAUUCUGGCGGGCAUGCCUGUUCGAGCGUCAUU